AUCUAGCGGUCCAGCCCAGCCCACUUCUUGUGUCGUCGCCUCCACGGGCAACGACACCACUGAUGAACAGCUUGCUCCACACAGUAAGGCAACCGCAGCUUCAAGCACUCCUGAUCCAAUGUUUGCAUCUGGUAUACAUUCUGAAGGACCCAUUAAGGAACAAGCUGCCCAAGUACCAAUUGCUUACAACAGAAGGAGUACGCGCUCCACAAGGGCUGCUGAUAUUUUGAAAACACAAGCAGCUGAAGCAAAGAAAGCUAAGGAGCCUGAUGCUGCUGUGAAAAAGGAGGAGAAGCAGCUGGAAGCGGCGAGAAUGAAGGCUGAGGCUGACAAGAAGAAGGAGGAAACCAAGAAGCAGAAACAACAAAAAGGAAAGGCAGCCGGCAAGAACAUGAGGGCGAAGCUUCAGCUCACUAAAGAUGACCAAGCGCUGUGCGAUGAACAUGAGAAAUGGUUGAUGCAGCUGCGCGAGCAUGCUAAUGAAGAAAUUUCAAAGCUGAAGAGAAGUGUUCCUUGUGAGCCCCUUGCUGUGCAGUUGUCUUAAGAGGAAUGUGAACGAGGUUCCCAAAACUUCAACGAGUUUCAAAAGACGAUUUUCAAACAUGUUGGAGAGAGGUUGAGGAAGAAGCCAAGGAAGUACAUAUUUCCAUUCAAAAUCCCAGGUUGCCCCGCGAAAGUACGCUUGGCAAAGGCACUUGCUACGAGGAACAAGAUCGCCUCUGAUGAGAAGUUGAAAGCAUAAGCACACACACAUCGCUAUUGGCAGAUAUCAUUGUUGCAACUAGUUUUCUCAACCCCUAUACAGUUGGUAACAUAUUUGUUUUUUUUCCUACUCACAGCUCGAUUCUGGUUGAUUUUAGCAUCUUCUGUGCUUUUGACGGCCAUGACCUCCUGACCACUUUUGCUGAUGAUAAAGACGGCAUCUCUUCUAUAAUGGAUUUCACUAUCCAUUGCCUUCGUUAUGAUGACAUUGUUCACAAGGAAGAUUCGAUGAGAUACAGGGUAUUCCUCACCACUGGGUUCUUUGUUCAGGCAAAGAAUGUUGAGAAGGUCUACAUGGAUGAUGGAAAAACCAAGACUGAAGAAUUCAAAAUCCUGAGACAGUGCUUGGAGUCUGAAAUCGAGCAUUAUUCGGAUAUAACAAAAGCAAAGUUGAUAUUCAUGCCUGUAUGUGUUGGGAAGCACUAUUUUGUUUACUGUAUCAACCUCAUCCACAAUCGCAUCGAUAUCUUGGAUUCGAUUGACUAUUUUUGGGCGGGCACUUCUCCUAAACCACAUCACCAGUCCAUCUAUGACAAGCUGCCCAUCAUAAACGCUGCAUUCCAGAAGGUUACCAAGGACAAAUUCUCUCAAUUUGACAACUGGAGCAGGCCGUUCAUUGAUGUGCCAAAGCAAGCUGGGCCCAAUGAUCGCAUGUUUUUCCUUUGGAAAUAUAUGGAAUUCUAGGAUGUUCAAAGGGAUGAUAUACAGGAUUGAGAUGAUGCACUAUUUGGUGUUCCACCCCUUGAACUAACUUGACAUACCCGAUGAACGUGACGUCUAUAGGCUUGGUGGGAGAAAGAUUGAAUGGAAUGAAUCGCAAUGAGGAUUUUUGGAACGGUUUGUUGUAGCAACUGUUGUAACUUAUGUAGCAACUUUUGUACAAAACUUAUCUAAAUUGUCUGCAGUAGCAACUAAUGUACCUUAAUUUUUGCAAAUGGUGAACAUGCAAAUUGCAAA